GACGUAGGGCGCGAGCGUUGUCCGGAUUUAUUGGGCGUAAAGAGCUCGUAGGCGGUUUGUCGCGUCUGCUGUGAAAACUCGGGGCUUAACUCCGGGCCUGCAGUGGGUACGGGCAGACUAGAGUGCGGUAGGGGAGACUGGAAUUCCUGGUGUAGCGGUGGAAUGCGUAGAGAUCGGGAGGAACACCAGUGGCGAAGGCGGCUCUCUGGACCCUUGCCUGACGCUGAGGCGCGAAAGCGUGGGGAGCGAUCCGG
rnacentral:rRNA from 1 species